rnacentral:lncRNA from 1 species
UGUUUGAUCCAAAAUGUCUUCCGAUAUCUCCUCUUUUAGCGGUUCUAGGAGUUCGUCAGUCCCAGUUCCCCAAAGUCCUUAUACCGUAGACGAACCCGUAGUCGGGAUCGAACCUCAUUUGGUCUUUACGCCAGACACCAUCCCCAGCUCUUUGACUCCGGAUGAACUCUCAUUGAUAAAGAUUCAGUAUGGAGUUCCUCUGGAGUAUGAGAUGGAGCUUCCUGGGCCAAC